rnacentral:lncRNA from 1 species
CUCCGCCAGAGCCCAGCCUUCCAGCCGACUGCCGACUGCUGACGAUUGCCUCCUCCCGCUUUGUCAGUGUGUGUGAGCCAGACCCUGGUCCUGGCCCUGAGCACUCAUCAGUCAGUACAGGAAGCAGGAAAGGAGGAUGGCCUCGUGGACCUGACCUUCGGGCAGGGAUGGAGAGGGACCGCUUUCCCGGUGGCUGUAAGCACAGCCCUGAGGGACACCCAAGGCCCUUGGGGAUGCCCUAUGCCUCUGCAUCCCUGCUAAUUUAACUUCCGGUUUCUCUGCAGGGUCCCAGCCCCACGGCCCUGCCUCUGUGCAGAUGGAAGCCUCCGAGGCUGUGUUCUUUUGGGAAGGAGAAGCCCCAGCUCAGACCCAACUCUGCUGCUCACUUCCCAGUGGCAGCACUAGGCGAGUCAAGUCCCCUCAGUGUCCUUUGGUGUCCUCACGGGUAAUGCAGAGCCGGCACCUUGGCAAGAGGAGCAGAGAGGUUAAAGGCAAAGUGCCCAGCGUCGGGGUGGCACACAGAGUCUGACUUGAGGAAGCCGCAAGGACAGAACGCCCGAGGCCUCUAACUGACAAGAGCGAGGUUCUUUCUCACGGGCCGGAGGCUGGGACACCCAAGGUCAGGGCUCCGGCAUCUGGGGGAGGCUUCUUGCUGCCUUGUCCCAGGGCAGCAGGGGAGAGGCAGGAGAGCGACAUGUGGCCGAGACAUGGACACUGACGGCGCCAGUUCAGCAGGAGGCCCUGGCCUCAGCUGCCCACACCGUCACAUCCCGGAGUAAGUGUGCAGCCCGUGCAUUUGGGGGGACCCAGUCAGACAAUAGCAGAGAGCGUCUGGCUCCCAGCCGCUGCAAAAUGUACCCCUGUACCCGAGGCUGGUCAGGAUUUGUCAUUUGCCCAGAAUGCAGGGACGGUACGGACAGAGCUGAGCCUGCUGCUCCCUCUCUGGAAAGUGCCCCAGGACGUGGACAGAGAGGCCACUGGUGUCCCUUCAUGCGGCUCCAUCCUUCUCCCUGCCUUGGAGCAGCCGGGCCGGCGCAGCGGACCCCACAGCUUCCUCAGGCAGGGGGCAGUCAAGACCUGGACUCGCCUGUGUCUGAGCUCUGUGUGCUCGCCCAGGGGCUUGAACUCUGGGCCAGCAGAUGCCUGGGUGCCAGAGACAUGGCUUCAGCUCUCCCCGGGAAGAGGCAGGCCCAGGCACCAACUCUUGCCCCACUGGUGCCCAGGGGGAGCUGGUUGUGGUCCUCAGGGCACAGCAGGGAAAUGAGCGCAGACAGGAGGCCCCACCGCUUCCCCCGCUUCUCUCCAGAGAGGGGAUGGCGCCCCUGGGAGGUAAGCGGAGGUGCUCAGAGCACUGCACUCUGCACCCCCAUACAGCGCAGCUCCCCGCCCCUACGACACGAGGUCAGUACCUGUGCCCGGCGGCCAAUCUCCUGGAGAAUGGCGUGCUGGUGCAGCUGCAGCCCCUCCACGGCACACUCUUCCCACAGGGUGGCAGAGAAAUGUGGCGGUAACGGAAGUGAAGAGAGAAAGCGCAGCAGAGGAACAUGUGGGAGGACCAGCAGCGAGGUGUGCCAGAGCCUCCUGUGCUCCCACGCAGACCUGGGACCUCACUGUCCCCUGUCCUUUCCGACGAGGUGCGCACGAUCAUGCACAUUCUAUAGAAGGGAAACCGAGGGACAGAAUACUUACCUGAGGUCCCAAAGCAGCAGAGCGCAGGACUGA